rnacentral:lncRNA from 1 species
CAAUACUAUGUAUCUGUAAUAAAAAUAAAAAAUAAACUGUCACGACAUCGUGAUAUGAAUAAUCAAAAGAUUUAAAUGAAUAGAAUUAACUAAUUCACUAAUUAACUAAUGGGUCGCGCCUACUCCGCAACCCACAGCAACGCAGUCUUCUAUGGACCAGUUUAUGCCAAAGUCUGUCUGUAGCAAAACAAGGCCAAAUUGAAAUUGCAUUGGCUAAAAUGAUUGCCACCGAUUUCCAGCCAUUUUCGAUCGUGGAGGACAGAGGUUUUAGAAAUUAUAUCAAUAGUCUAAAUCCAAUGUACACAAUUCCAAGCAGGAAAACCCUUUCAAAAUCACUUAUUCCACAACUGUAUGAGAGCACACAGGCUUCAGUGCGGGAAGGAGUCCAAAAAGCUAGUGCAGUUUGCCUUACCACUGACUGCUGGACAUCAAGGGUAACAGCUUCUUACAUGUCGGUUACAUGUCACUUCAUUGAAGAUUUUUCGAUGUCUAGCUGACUUCUGGACUGCUUUGAGUUCAGCGACAGACACACCUCAGAGAACUUGGCAGAGGAACUGUUGAGAGUGGCCAGAGAAUGGCAAAUAGAUGGGAAAGUGGUCUGUUGUGUUAGUGACAAUGCAGCUAACAUAACCAAAGUCAUUAAAAUUUUAACAUGGACCCAUCAUCCAUGUCUUGCCCACACAAUCAUCUUGAUUGUAAGAGAUGCUCUGAAGGUGAUGAAGCCCACUGUGGACAAAGUGAAAGCAGCUGUGGAAUACUUCCACAGGAGCACAGUAGGUGCUGAAAAACUUAAGUCUACAGAAUGCCAGAUGGGGACGCCUGAGUUGAGGCCUAAACAAAACUGCACUACAAGGUGGAAUUCAACAUUUUAUAUGUUGAAGCGGUUUCUUGAGUCAAAGGAUGCCAUCAUCUCUACCCUGGCCAUUGGCAAUGCACCUGUUGAAUGUCUGACCCAAGAGGAAUGGGAGGUGGUGGAGGAGGUGUGCAGAGUCCUGGAACCCUUUGAGCAGGUCACUGUGAAGAUCACUGGAGAGAGCUAUGUGACAGCCUCAAAAAUGAUACUCCUGUGUAAGGGUCUGCAGCGAAUCACAGCCAGCCGCCAGAGAGAAGCAAAUGUAACCACAGGACAUGUGACAGAGUUGA